AUUGAACGCUGGCGGCAUGCUUUACACAUGCAAGUCGAACGGUAACAGGCCGCAAGGUGCUGACGAGUGGCGAACGGGUGAGUAAUGCAUCGGAACGUGCCCAGUCGUGGGGGAUAACGCAGCGAAAGCUGCGCUAAUACCGCAUACGAUCUAUGGAUGAAAGCGGGGGACCGUAAGGCCUCGCGCGAUUGGAGCGGCCGAUGUCAGAUUAGGUAGUUGGUGGGGUAAAGGCUCACCAAGCCGACGAUCUGUAGCUGGUCUGAGAGGACGACCAGCCGCACUGGGACUGAGACACGGCCCAGACUCAUACGGGAGGCAGCAGUGGGGAAUUUUGGACAAUGGGCGCAAGCCUGAUCCAGCAAUGCCGCGUGCAGGAAGAAGGCCUUCGGGUUGUAAACUGCUUUUGUACGGAACGAAACGGCUCUGGUUAAUACCUGGGGCUAAUGACGGUACCGUAAGAAUAAGCACCGGCUAACUACGUGCCAGCCGCCGCAGUAAAAC
rnacentral:rRNA from 1 species